GAGGCAUCCACAGGGGUGGCAACUUCCGGGUGGUGUGUGUGGGUUAGUCUGCGGGGGUGUGGGGGCUCCCGUGGGUAUCUGGGGGCGUCCGUGGGGUUCCUGUGAUCUCUUUGGGCAGCGUUACCUGAUCUCAUCAAUGGGCUGCUUGCGGAACAUGUGUCUCCAGCCUGCCCACGUCUUCUUCAGGUGUCCCUCCCCCUGGCUCGGGUGACAGGGAGUGAGAGCCGCCAUCCCAGGGUCCCACCCCGAGGCCCUCUCCCGGCUGCCCAUUCCUCACCUUGUGCAGGGGGAACCUGGCCUCGAAGACCCCGUCCUUCACCAGAUCCUCGAAGGUCUCUGUGGGUCACAGGGACUCAGGAGUCAGGGGCAGUGAGGUGCUGGGAGGAGGCCGCCCACGGCGCCCGGUCGGUGCCCCAGCCCUGCCCUCACCGCCAGCCGAGGUCUUGGUCUUCAUGACAACGAAGUUCACGAUUCGGAUUCUGAGAUUCAGAAGCCAGAGCAGGAGACUGGGGCUCAGGAAGGGGAAUGUCCCGAGGCCACACAGCCACGAAGCAGCACAACCAGGUGUCCGACGGCAGAGCCGGGCUCCAAGCCUCCCCCUGCGCCUAGAGACAUGGCUCCUGGACCCCAGGGCACCCCAGGGCACGCGCCCCCUCAAGCCACCUCCCCUCCUUUGAUGCCCCCUCACGACCCCCCAAGACCCACAGCUCUCUGUUCACGGAUGUUCACGGAUGCCCUCCACUGCCUCGUGACCACUGCCAGGAGUGUCCUUGGCCGGUCCACAAAGCAGGCUCUGGCUGAGCCCUGCAGGGCCUGUACAGGGCUGGGCAGGUGAUGGGGGCAUGGAGGGCCAGGCUUGGAGGCUCCCUCCUGGGCUGGAGGACUGGGGAGAAGCAGGGCCUGAGGGAAUGAGCAGGCUGUCCCUGCCGGGCCUCUGGGUCUGUGCCUGGGAGGCCAGGGACAGUGUCCAGGAAGGGGCAUCAGACCUGGAGAGGAGGGGUCUUCAAGAGACACUGGCCUUGGUCCAGGAGGGGCCAUUGGGCCUCUGCAAAUCCCGCCCACCCCCUACGGCUGGCUCUGACUCUGUCCCCAGGAACGCAGGCAGCCACACGGGGCCCUCAGAACGCUCUGAGAGGUGAGAACCACCAUGAUCCUUUAUUGGGAUGGGGAAGCUGAGGCUCACACAGCCGGUGGUUCUCACACCUGUGGCCCCUGCCCUGAGACCACGCGGCUGUCCUGCCUUGGCGAUGCCCGGAGCCUGGCACUGUCUCCUGCCCAGUCUGGACCAAGCACAUGGGUGGCAAGGGGUCCUCCUGGCCACGGCUCUGGGUGCAACCUCUCACCUCGUGGCGACCGGGACGGGGGUCGGCGCAGCCAGCUCGGCGUGGGGGGUCGGCCCCUCGGGCUCCAGGAGGAGAGUGCGGUACAGGUCGAAGAUGCUGUUGUCAGCACGGAUCCCAAAGAACACCAGUUUCUGGUCCUGUAUCCUCUGGGGGUAGGGGGCACACGGGACCCUCUAUUCCACCUCCAAACCUUCCCUACCUCUGCAGCCCUGGCCCAGAGCCACGGAGCAUCCUCGCUUCUCAUGCCCCUGCUUCUCCCCAAUCCUCCAGCCCAGGAGACAGCCUCCAAGCCUGGCCCUCUGUGCUCCCGUGACCAGCCCCACGCCCCGUGCCCCUCGCUGGGCACCAGCCCACCUUGAUGUGGAAGCUCUUUCUCCUGAGCUCCUGAAGGAACUGCUGCUGCUGCACCUGCCGGGGGUCUCUCUGGGUGUGAUGAUGGGCCACGAGGACACAGUCCCACUGCUCAGAGGCCUCGGCCUGCAGGGAGGAGUCACCGGGCCAGGUGCAGCGAGAACAGCAAAGAGUCCCGAGGAGAUGGCUGUAGGCGGGUGACAGGCCAGAGGGCCAGGACCUGCUGCAAACAACCGACAAGACUGUGGAGACGGAAGCACGUGAGGGUUCCUGCAAAUGUAAAAGGGGAGAUGCAGCCCACAGAGGCCGGCGGGACUGUACGGAAGAGGAGCAUGGUGAGCAGCCGACAAGGGAGGCGUCGGGAACCCCGGAACAGCCAGGGAAACGCAGGUCAGAGGACCAGGAGACGCCGAUGCGCGGGAGAAGCCACAGGCACCCCUGCGCACUCCCGGUGCUGUGCGUAUCAGAGCACGGGUUUGGAAACCUGUUGGACUGUGUUUAAAAUCGAACACUCCCAGCCCCUGGCCCAGCCCGUCCACCCUUGGAGGUGCAGACACGGGCACUCACAGCGGCCCCGUUUCACACGAGGUUCCGGGGGCUGGGCAGACGGAUGGACACCAUGCCAUCCUCACACAGGGAGGGUCCUGCAGCAGGCGAGGUGAGUGCCUGCAGGGCACAGUGCACGGGGCUCCCGCGGGGUGACUGCCACAGGCACAUCCCAGCAGACACAGGGACACGAGAGUCUGGGGCCAGAACCUUCCGGAGGAGGGGAAUUUGCAGGGCCUCAGAGCGUCCCCCUGAUAUUUGUUAAUUACUGAGGCAGUCUCCAUGCUGUCUCUGGCUGCAUCACACCCGGUUCCUGCACCUGAGUCCUUCCCCUCUCCCAGCUGCAUCCUCGCCAAGCUCAAGACCUGCCUCCUCCAGAAAGUCUCACUUGACUGCUUGAGCCUGUUGGCCCUUGAGGGCUGCCAGGUAAAAUAGAGGCCACCCAGUCACGCUUGAUUUCCAGAUAAACAACAGAAGGAUAUAGUAUAGAUAGGGUAGGGUCGGGUCGGGUAGGAUAGGAUAGGAUAGGAUAGAUGCCCCAGUGAUUGCAUGGGAUAC